CUCCUGGUGCUUUUCUCCCCUCCAGGAGAGCGAAGAGGAACUUUAUUCCUCCUGUCGCCAGCUGCGAAGGCGGCAGGAAGAGCUCAACAAUCAGCUCUUUCUGUACGACACACACCAGAACUUGCGCAACGCCAACCGGGAUGCCCUCGUUAAAGAGUUCAAUGUCAACGAGAACCAGCUCCAGCUGUACCAGGAGAAGUGCAACCGGAGGUUGAGAGAGAAGCGAGUCAGCAACAGCAGGUUUUACUCCUAGAAGCUGGGGUACAUGUGUCGGGGUGUCCCACGCGUGUGUGUCUGUGUAUAGGAGAAAGUCCUCUCUUCAGACCCUGGAUACAUGCUCAUCCGUGAGGUCAUCCUCUCUGCAAUACUGGCAUCAAGAUGACAUUUCUGAAGAUCUGACUGGCAUGAGUUGGGGUUAUUUCCUAAUUUUUUUCAUCUUGGACAAUUUCUUAACUUAUAUUUUCUAUAGAGGAUCAUAAAAAUAUGUUCCAAACCUCCUUAAUAAAAGCAGUGAAAAUCUUGA